rnacentral:pre_miRNA from 1 species
CGUUCCUCAAGGCCGGAGCAGAGGGGGUCUCGGCCUCACCAUCAUGAUCCCACUCGAACUUGUUAUCAUUGUCGCUAUCUGAAGAUAGCGACAAUGAUAGCAAGUUCGUGUGGGAUACUGAUGGUGAGGCCGAGUUCUGCUUUGCUUCGGCCUUGUAGAACG